GCAAUACCGAAUACCCAAGGAGUUUAAAGUUCAGACAAAUUGGCCCUGCCUGCCAAUCCACCAUCCGCCCAAAUCGACAAAAUAGGAGAAGAUGGAGAUUCAUCUGAAAGACAUGAAAAAGGGUAGACCUUGUUCAAGCACGACGGGCAGAUCCAUUCCUUAGAGGAAGCAAAGAAGGAGUUGGAUUAUAUGGAGAAGAUGGGGAUUACUGAAGAUACGGACGACGAGCCAUCAUUAUGGGUUUCAUCAUUUCUUGUGAUAGAUAAACCAAGCGGUGGAGUACGGCUUGUUGUGGAUUAUUCCAAACUGAACGACCAUAUCCUCAGACCUAUGCAUACAUUUCAUUCGAUAAAGGACAUUAUGACCUCAGUGCAGUCGAAAAGUUGGUUCCUUACAGUCAUGGAUGCAACAGAAGGAUACUGUCAGAUCCCUUUAUCACCUGAGGCCAGAAAAUUGACCACCUCCCUCACACCAUGGGGACGAAAGCGGUUUGGUCCCCACUAAUUGCCAGAAGAUCAUUGUUCCACCCAGUGCCCGCAAGGAGAGACUACGCCUCUUCCAAUUUUCCUCGUGAAGGCAUUAUGAGGACGUAUCAACGUGGACGCGAUUUCUUGAAUUGGCGGCCUGGAAUGAAAAAUGAUGUCGUAUCCAGGGUGGAAUCAUAUUUGCCGCGCAAUUGGCUCCAAAUCAGGGUGACCUGCAGCUACAUAAGUUUUGUUUCAAUUUGAAUAACUUGAACAACUUUACCUGAAUACUUUUGACUGUAAUCAAAAACGGUUUACUUCCAUAAUGUGUGCAAUAUGGGCUCUAAGAAUACAUUUCUUUGUUGACUACCACACUUCAUAUGUCAUCGCUGCUAAGAUGGAGACAUAUUUGAAACAAAGGAAGUCUGUUGGCCAAAUCAUUGUAAUAUUGCUAAGCAACGGGUGUGGCAUGACUUGGCCUGUUGAUGAACAUAACCUUAUAACUCAAUUGAAAGGCGAAAUUGACGCAUUGAAUGUGAAAGUACGGCGAAUUUCUUCCCCAGAGGUAUGCUGACCAACUCUCCAAGUACAAUAAGGACAAGGGAAUCCACUGGCAUGAGAGGUCAUUCCGCACAAAAUGUUGGUCAUUUUCAGAUCACUGACUAAUUGGAAAUUGAGAGUUAGAGCAUUCAAUUUGGUGCGGGUAAGGAGCUCCUUGCAGUUCUAGUAACCUUCAGACACAUCAUGUGCUACGGCGAUGCACAUCAUUUUCACGACUCCAUUAAUCCCUUAGAGCAAUAGGCUCCUUGGUUGGGAUCAUAGAGCGCGUCAUCCGAGCUGCUUUCUCGUGAAAGGGGUUUGGCAUUUUUGCUGGUUUGCCGGGUUAUGACAACUGAAUUUCGUGCGCUUGACCAUGCGAUUCCAAACUUUUUCGCUUCAACGUUUGGAUUAGCAAUUGAUGGCAAGUUGCUUGGAGUAAACGAGAUUGAAGGUUUUCAAGGAGAGCUUUUGCUCCGCAUUUGUGGAAAAAAAGAAGCAAAAAAAGAGCAAAAAAAGGCUUGCCCACUCCUAUGAUCAGGAAAACAAGACUUAAAAGUUCAACAAAAAGUAAAAGAGAAAGAAGAACCACACUCAUUUGUGUUGUUUUCUGCCAAAUAGCUCAGAAUCACUACUCCCUCGGCCCUCUUGAUCCGUUCGCUUACUACUGGUCACUCACUCACUGCACAAGCUAAACAAAUUUUGUGGUAGACUGCUAAAGUCAUGAGUACCCAAAACGGUACUCAUGCCUACUCACAAGCACGUUGUGCCGGCUGACGUCUACCGAAUCGAAAAGGCAGCCGAUCGUGUCAAAGGUAUCAUAUUAGAGAAAGGCCACAACUGUCGUACGUGUUAAACAAAUUUUCUGUUGGGUUUAAGGUUAUGAUAAUAAGUUGUCAGAAGUGGACAACGUCUCCAUUUUAAUGGCAAAACCCUCGUUCAUCGCCUUUCAUUAUGGGAAGAAAUUUUCCCGAACUGGCCGGCCUCAAGAAAUUCAAGAAAAAGUGGUCGACACAUCCGGUUCUUUUCUGUUGUGCCAUGCAUCCACGUCAAUGCUUCAAAGGUUCGAACGCCAUCCUACCAUUGUUUCGAUCGACGGCACCCACGACACAAAUGCUGCUAAGUUUAUACUCAUCUCCAUUAACGUUUUUAAACCACGAGGUGAGGGAAGUCCAAUCUGUCAAUGCCUCGUCGAAACCGAAAACCAAGCUGUGUUUUCGGCAGCGUUGAAAGCCCUGAAUGCGGCGGUUCCGGGAGCUUGCUCUCGGGCGAAAAUGAUAUUGAGCGAUACCAGUCAUACGUUCAUAAACUCUUGGCGAGAGAGCAUCAGCCCAAAUGUUGGCUGGAGUGUCUGCCACUGGCAUCUGGAAAAGAACUGGACC